AACGGAAAAUUUUGGAAGAAGAAAAGGAAAACUCCUUCUCACUAGACUUCUAGAGUGAGAACUCCAUUUCCCAACCACUCACCAUCCUUCGCUACCAAUGGAAAACAUGCAAGCAACGGAUGACCAGCAAAUGACAGACGAAGAAAUGGACCAGUUAGAUCGUAGCACUCGCAAACCAAAAUCUUCACAGCCAAUAACACAACAAUCAUCUGUUGAGCAAGUAAGUUUUCGUGAUAAACUCUUUUCUCACCCAUCCCCUCUGCCUACUGAUUUUGACACGGACUUCCUUACCAAACUUAUACUAGAGGAUGAAAUAGAAAACAAAACAAACCACCCACACUUCAUCCCCAUAACUCAGAGUGACAAAUCUCGACUCUAUCGUCCUUGGAAUCAAGCUCUUAUUAUAAAAUUACUUGGCAAAAAAACCACUUACCAUCUUCUAAAACACAAAAUAGAACAACUUUGGAAACUCAAUGAACCUCUAAUUCUCAUUGAUUUAGGUUACGAUUAUUACUUAGUAAAAGUAACAAACAUUGUUAACUACAAAAACAUACUCCACAACGGACCUUGAUUUAUUGGCUCACAAUAUCUUAUUAUUCACCAAUGGGAGCCAAAAUUUAAUUCACUAAUCUUAGCCUCUCUAUUAUAUGGAUUCGUUUACAAGAAUUACCCACUGAAUAUUAUGACUUGUAAAUUCUAAAAAAAAAUUGCUUCAUGCAUUGGUACCCUGUUAAAAAUUGACACAUCCACAAUUCAUACCACUAGAGGUCGUUAUGCACGUCUCUGCAUCCUCGCACCACUUGAUACACCAUUACCAAAAAUGUGCUAUUAGGCUCAUACCUAUAGCAAAUUUACUACGAAAAUGCUUCUUCCAUUUGCAUUGCCUGUGGAUGCUUAGGCCAUACUAAUUCUCACUGUCCCAAUAUAACACCCAACACACACACGGUUAAUCAAACUGCAUUACCUAAGUCUUUCCCUCCUACACCACCAUUUCUUACCCAAGAUGAAUGGAAAACAGUUUCCUAUAGCAAAUCUACACGUCAUCCAACUAAUAAACAAUAUUUUCCUCCAACUAAAACCACCCUUCAACCCAAAACCACUAAACCUAGAAUGCCAAACCCCAUCUCUCUAUCCAAUAGAUUUGCCUAUACCACUCCAACUGAAAAUUCUGAACUCUAUACACAGACUACCACUAUAGACAUAUCCCUUCCUGUUAACAACUCAAUACCUACUACUACACCUGCUAUGCCACCCGCCACAAUCCCUCCCAGUCAUUACCCUCACAUGCACACAAUGCCUACCAUUUCUAACGAUCCUACACCACCUUCAAAUGAUUUUCUAAAUAAUACCCUCUUUCAUUCCCAUUCAAUACCAGCCAAUACCCAACCCACGCAUCCCCUAAUACGCCGUCAAAAAUACAAAAAUAAUGCUCUCAUUACUAGCUUCCAAAAAAACAAAAACAAAUCAACCAAAAAGACCCCUAAAAUUGAUCAACCAAUUAUAAUGACUAAUACACCUACCAAUUCCAAACAACCAUCAUCAUCAAACUCUAUAUCACCUAUACUACCAUAUACCGCACACUCACUUCACACGCAAAGCCCAUGCAACCAACACUAACAGGCUGCACUGCCACAUGCCACCCCUACCAAUAUUACACCACUUCCCAACAUGCAAACCAUAAACAUAACCAACUUUCCUCACCCUCCAAUUAUCACAUACAAUGAAAACAAUCAUGAACCUAUAACACCUUUCCCUACACCUACUUAUUCCACUCCUUCACUCCCAUACACUUCCGAUGGUAUACAAAAUAAUUACACAUAUUCACCACUGCCACAAGCAAUUUUCACCACCAAUACUCCAAAUCAAUACCGGCCACAUCGCCACUACAUUGACGACUCCUCCAAUCUACAACUUUCCUCCCAUCAACUUCAUCAUCACCCUACCUCUCAUGCAGUCGACCUCUCAAAAAAUUACCAUGACAUUACCCCCGUCAUUUCUUCCAUUACAACAUCACUGACUCUACCGCCUCUCCAACCAACAGUCAUUGCUCCAUCCAACAAUACCUUUACUCAACCCUUAUCCUCAAAUACACUUACACCUAUUCCCAAUACUAACACUAUCACAUCCACUACACUUUCACACAUAGAUUCCCCUACAAUCCAUAAUGGUUCCUCAUCACCACCAACAUCAUCGUCGUCGCCCACACAGGCACCAACGGCACUACCACCAUCACAUGCACAUUGCUCACUACACCCUACCGCCUCCACUUCUUCUUCCAUCCAUUGCACCACUACCACCAGUUCCCAUGUAUCCCCCACCAAACAACUUUUAUCACCCUUACAACUCUCUUCCUGCUCAACCCAACUUCCUCCCACCACCUCAUCUCACUCCUCUCCCACCACUGCCAGACAUCUCCUUAAUGCAACAACAGGCAGCGAUUCUUCUGGACAAUACGGAAGCAUUAACAAACAUCCUUCAACAAGGCAUUUUCAUGCCCAUGAACUACGAAGCUGCCAUACAAAUACUAUAACAACAAGAGAUCACUGCCCUAGAGUUUCAAACACAACUGCUCAACAUUCAUCAAUGGAAUGCUCAUCUCCAACAAUAUUACCACUCUUGGAAUACAUACCAACCUCACAACUGCUUGCCAUGGUUUGUGCCUCAUCACCACCAAGUAGUGGAACCAUCCCACCAACUGUCUCCACGCCAGAAGCAGGUACCAGUCAUAUUCCCACCGCCACCACCACCAUCGCCACCAAUGGAGGAAUUUUAUCAUCACUAACCACAAGAAGAAGAGGCAGAUGCUCCGGAGACGUUCAUAGAAUUACUAACACUGAGCGAAUCAAUCACGAUCGCCAUGCCAGAAAAUAUAGAAAGAAAUUUUUUGAUCUACAUUCCACCGAGUUUUGAAAAGACAUCGUUGAAUAUCUGCCUCGACCCUUACUCCUUGGAGGACAAAUAUGUGGUCCUCAUGAUACCCACACUAAGGGAUACAAUGUUGCCACAGGCACUGUAUCAACCUCCCCACCUGCUCAUGCACCUGGAGCUUUCAGUACCCCCAGAGGGAACCCAACACAACAAUCAUCUUAUGAAGAUCAUGCUAUGGAAUUGUAGGGGAGAAAAUGGUUUGGAAUUCCGUCAGAACCUAUGGGUUCUACUACAAUGAAAUAACUCAUCUAUACUGUGCCUCACAAAGACAAAGAUGCAAGAUCAUAUGUCACUACUUCAACAAUUUGACUUUACUGAUCUCAUACAAGUUACUGCACAUAGACACUCAGGAGGAAUAGUUAUUCUAUGGCGAGCACAUGAACUCACUGUGGAUCCAGUAGCCGUUACCAGUCAAGAAAUCCAUGCGUCUGUUCAGGUUAGCCCAUCUUCUCCCAAAUGGUUUUUAUCAGUUGUUUAUGCUAGUAACCAAUUGUGAGCACGCGAUUUUUGCCCUAUAUGAAUUAUUUCAACAAAUUCAAAACAAAAUAAUUUCUUUCAGUGUUUGCAAUUUUGUUGGAUUUUGUGGCAUUUUCUGUUAAUUUUUUGCAUUUGUUUGUGCACGUUUAUUUUAUUUAAUUCAUGAAAAUACAAAAAUAUCACGCACUUCAUUUAGGAUUUAAUUUUAUAUUUUUUUAGAUUAAUUAGUAAAUUAGUUUGUUUUAUAAGACAUGAAAAUCACAAAAAUAGUUUAUUUUCCACUUUUUAAUUUUAAUUUCGAACUUUGGCAGUUUUCCUUGAAUUUGGUUUUUAAUUAUUUGUGGUAAAUGUUAUUUAGAGUUAAUUAAUGUAAUAGCAUAAUUUGAUUAGCGAUUAAUUUAGGUUUAUUUUUAUUUUUAAAUUUAAAACGAAUUUUGGGAAAAAAGAAGAAGAAGAAAGGGAUUGGAAAUAAGAAAAGGGGUGUUUUGGGCUAACAUUGCCAAGCCCAAAUGCUCCCCCCCAUUAGCUCAUCCAAGCCAGGCCCAAGGUCCUUUGUCUUACCCGGUACAAGUAGCCCAUCACCCAGGCCAUUGAAACGACGUCGUAAGGGAGUGGAACGACGUCGUUUCGAGUUCAGUUUGCCUUAACAAAUCUUGGCCCUUCAUCUUGCUUCAUCCGACGGUCCGGAACUGAUUGGGUCACACCUAUAAAAUUGUCCAAAUGCCUUGCACCCCCCCGGUCUCGUCUCCCCAACCCUUCAUCUCUCAGAGACAAAGGCGAAACCCUAGUAGGCGCCUUCAGACACCACCGCUUUAGGGUGGCGGCGCCACCUCCGUUCGCCACCAAAAUUACACCCCGUGACCACCAAGUCCCCCUCAUUCCAAAUCCCUAACUAUUCGCCUUUGAAUCAUCCUGGAGUCUCUCGAAUUUCAGAUCGAAGUUUAACCUGAAAUCCCGAAAGGAGUUGAUUGGCGAGGUUACUAAAGAUUUGAGGUUGAGAUCGACUUUAGCCGUGUGUUUCCAGGCGAGAACACACGAUUAAGGUCUAUCUCGACCAAAAAAUCAAGGUUUCUUUGAAGACUAGUUCAAGAUUGUGUUCGCCUAGCUUGACAGGUAUCUCUAGUAUUUUUUUCUAUUCCAUUUUUCUUAUCUUCUUCUACUUUUCUUCUUUUUCUUCUGUGUUCUCAAAGUCAUUACUGUAUGUGUUUCUUUUAAGUUAGGAUUAAUGGUUAGUUAUUAGGUUCUUCAGUUUUGUUUGAAUUCGUUAGGUUAGUUUGUUUGGUUGUUCCCUUUAGUCUUGGGCCGAUUGAAAGCAUUUGGUUCGAAAGGCUGAUUAAAAUCCUAAUUGACUUUCCUUCUUCUGCCUUCUCGUUUCUCCUGGACUUCUGACUUGGACCUGGGCCCUAAAAGAAAGGGACUGACCCGAGUUUUCGAAGACCCAUAUCUGGUUCGCCUUAGAUCAGUUCGACUUGUUUGGGUUCUCUUGUUAAUUACAGGGGUUCAAGGGGUAUUUUGGGUAACUAGCUUAGGGAAUCUGGGUGUAACUGCAUUAGGAAACUUCUAGGAAGCUGGGGGUUGGGGUUAUUCUGAUGUUCUGAAUUUUAAAAGAAGGAUACCUAAGCAAAAAUAAAAAUUUCUGAAGGUUUGAAAUGCAAUUGUGAAUUUAAAGCUGCCCUAGUAACUUGCCUAUAAAGGCAUAAGAUACUUGCAGCUCAAGGGGGAUUUUUGGAGAGCUAGAGUUCCAGAAAAUAAAAGACGGACAAAAUUGCUACUGUUUCAUUAAUUUCUUUAUUGAUUUCUAAAAAGUUUCCAGUUCUGAAAUACUUCAUGUUUCAUUUGAGAUUGAGUAUGAAUUGAUUUGGGAUUUAAAACUGCUACGAAGUUGGGUCCUCGGGUUUGUUUUGUACCACUUGGUCUGAGUUGGUUUUCUGCUAAUUUUUCUUGGAUCUGAGAGCUGUGUUAUUAGCUGCUAGCUACUGAUCCUGCUUUGCUUUGGAUUCUGUCUUAUUUACAGGUACACAUUGAGAGGCUUUGUUGUUUUUGAAGUUGGAUUUGAAAGUUGAAAAUGAAAGCAAUAGUUUGAAAUGUAUUAUCAAUUUGCCUUCGACUUUUCUGUAUUGCUUUGGAGUAUUAUGUUUAUUUUAUCAGCUUGUUGUUAUGGAUUAAUCGAUUCAGUUCUGUUUCAAGUUAGGAACUUUGUUAUUUUAAUUGAUUGGGAAAUAUCAUGAAGUUUGAGAGAAAGUAGCUUGUCCGACUGAAUCAACAACUUAGCCUUUGCACUCAUUUGUGAUUUUAUAUAGUGUGUACUGUAAUGCUGUUGGGUUGAAUGGGGUAUGGCUAUAUGGGAUUCAUUGGACUAGCUAUAAGCCAUACGCUUAUCAACUCAUUUAUUCAUGUUGUUAGUCAAAUGAAUCUGGUUUCAUUUAUAUUUCCC
rnacentral:lncRNA from 1 species